AUUGAACGCUGGCGGCAUGAUUUACACAUGCAAGUCGAACGGUAACAGGCCGCAAGGUGCUGACGAGUGGCGAACGGGUGAGUAAUGCAUCGGAACGUGCCCAGUCGUGGGGGAUAACUACUCGAAAGAGUAGCUAAUACCGCAUACGAUCUAUGGAUGAAAGCGGGGGACCGUAAGGCCUCGCGCGAUUGGAGCGGCCGAUGUCAGAUUAGGUAGUUGGUGGGGUAAAGGCUCACCAAGCCAACGAUCUGUAGCUGGUCUGAGAGGACGACCAGCCACACUGGGACUGAGACACGGCCCAGACUCCUACGGGAGGCAGCAGUGGGGAAUUUUGGACAAUGGGCGCAAGCCUGAUCCAGCAAUGCCGCGUGCAGGAAGAAGGCCUUCGGGUUGUAAACUGCUUUUGUACGGAACGAAACGGCUCUGGUUAAUACCCGGGGCUAAUGACGGUACCGCAAGAAUAAGCACCGGCUAACUACGUG
rnacentral:rRNA from 1 species